rnacentral:rRNA from 1 species
UACGAAGGGUGCAAGCGUUACUCGGAAUUACUGGGCGUAAGCGCACGUAGGCGGCUUGUUAAGUCGGGGGUGAAAUCCUGGAGCUCAACUCCAGAACUGCCUUCGAUACUGGCGAGCUCGAGUUCGGGAGAGGUGAGUGGAACUGCGAGUGUAGAGGUGAAAUUCGUAGAUAUUCGCAAGAACACCGGUGGCGAAGGCGGCAUCCUGGUCCAGCACCGACGUUCAGGCACGAAAGCGUGGGGAGCAAACAGGG